GCAAGAAGCUAAGGAACAGCAGGGUCUCAGCAAACGCACACACUGAAUGACCGGACAGUAAAUCAAUUUAUCAGCUUCCUGUGCCUGCUUGAAGAUGUGAGCACUCAGCUUUCUACUCCUGUUCCAGCCAGCUCGCCAUGCCUCCCGUCAUGAUGGACUCUAAUCCCUCUGGAACCUGGAAACAUAAGCUCAAACCUCCAGGAAUUCUCCAAGCCUUCAGCACCAGAUUGGGACUACUGAGGCAUCCA